GGGCCCGUAACUCAGUGGUAGAGUGACGCCCUCAUAAGGCGUUGGACGUGGGUUCGAAUCCCACCGGGCCCA
rnacentral:tRNA from 2 species